UACAGAGGGGGCAAGCGUUGUUCGGAAUUACUGGGCGUAAAGGGCGCGUAGGCGGCCUUCUAAGUCGAACGUGAAAUCCCUGGGCUCAACCCAGGAACUGCGUCCGAUACUGGGAGGCUUGAAUCCGGGAGAGGGAUGCGGAAUUCCAGGUGUAGCGGUGAAAUGCGUAGAUAUCAGGAGGAACACCAAUGGCGAAGGCAGCUCGCUGGGACGGUACUGACGCUGAGACGCGAAGCGUGGGGAGCAAACAGGAU
rnacentral:rRNA from 1 species